rnacentral:lncRNA from 1 species
CCUCCGUCCUGUAGGGAUCCACGAUAGUAGGACUGUAUCACAUAUUAACUGCACCUAGAGGUUCAUCAUUCUAUUCUGCUGGGUAGCCACUACAUGCUGCUAGGUGUCACUGGUGGAUGGUGAGACUCACAGGGAAUAUCUCGAUGAUCGAUAAACCCUAAUGAGUUGAGUUGGAAUCGUUCCAACCCAUUGAAAGGAGUUUUCAAU